AUUGAACGCUGGCGGCAGGCCUAACACAUGCAAGUCGAACGAGUGGCGGACGGGUGAGUAAUGUCUGGGAAACUGCCUGAUGGAGGGGGAUAACUACUGGAAACGGUAGCUAAUACCGCAUACCAUCGGAUGUGCCCAGAUGGGAUUAGCUAGUCGGUGGGGUAACGGCGCACCAAGGCGACGAUCCCUAGCUGGUCUGAGAGGAUGACCAGCCACACUGGAACUGAGACACGGUCCAGACUCCUACGGGAGGCAGCAGUGGGGAAUAUUGCACAAUGGGCGAAAGCCUGAUGGAGCCAUGCCGCGUGUAUGAAGAAGGCCUUCGGGUUGUAAAGUACUUUCAGCGGGGAGGCGUUACCCGCAGAAGAAGCACCGGCUAACUCCGUGCCAGCAGCCGCGGUAAUUC
rnacentral:rRNA from 1 species